rnacentral:rRNA from 1 species
GACGAACGCUGGCGGCGUGCUUAACACAUGCAAGUCGAACGAUGAAGAUGGUGCUUGCUCUGGCGGAUUAGUGGCGAACGGGUGAGUAACACGUGAGAAAUCUGCCCUUGACUCUGGGAUAACUGCGGGAAACUGUAGCUAAUACCGGAUACUUUCCCUGGUGGGCAUCCACUGGGGAAGAAAGAAUUUCGGUCAAGGAUGAUCUCGCGGCCUAGCAGCUUGUUGGUGAGGUAAUGGCUCACCAAGGCGAGGAAGGGUAGCCGACCUGAGAGGGUGACCGGCCACACUGGGGCUGAGACACGGCCCAGACUCCUACGGGAGGCAGCAGUGGGGAAUAUUGCACAAUGGGCGCAAGCCUGAUGCAGCAACGCCGCGUGAGGGAUGAAGGCCUUCGGGUUGUAAACCUCUUUUAGCAGGGAAGAAGCGAAAGUGACGGUACCUGCAGAAGAAGCACCGGCUAACUACGUGCCAGCCGCCGCCGUAA